CCAAGCCCAUUUUCCCCUUCUGAUUCUUCACUACCGGUCGUGGUUGCUGCUCUCCUCUAGGACAGUCACUGGAAUUGGAGUUCUCUCCGACCACUGAUCUUCUUCUUCGGGUCGUGGACAGAAGCAGAGCAUUCAAGUCGUUCUUGUGGUCCCGUUUUGUUGUACCGUGCCCUAGCAGUGGUUAAAGUGGAGGAUGUUUCGGUCGUGAGGCAACUGUAGAGUCCUCAGAUUUGGGAGGGACAGUGAUUUCAUCUACGCUGGCAGAGAGUUAUACCAGCUAUACGUCAUUGGUGGAGCCAUCAAUUCUGGAUUUGAGUUGGAUGCGAUCUCUUGGACUUGUUGAGGACGGUUGAUACGACAUGCGUAUGA